CUAGUAACUGCGAGUGAAGCGGGAAAAGCUCAAAUUUAAAAUCUGGUGGUCUCUGGCCAUCCGAGUUGUAAUCUAGAGAAGCGUCUUCCGUGCCGGACCGUGUACAAGUCUCUUGGAACAGAGCAUCAUANAGGGUGAGAAUCCCGUCUUUGACAUGGACUACCGGUGCUUUGUGAUGCGCUCUCAAAGAGUCGCGUUGUUUGGGAAUGCAGCGCAAAAUGGGUGGUGAAUUCCAUCUAAAGCUAAAUAUUGGCGAGAGACCGAUAGCGAACAAGUACCGUGAGGGAAAGAUGAAAAGCACUUUGGAAAGAGAGUUAAACAGUACGUGAAAUUGUUGAAAGGGAAACGCUUGAAGUCAGUCGCGUCUGGCGGAACUCAGCCUUGCUUUUGCUUGGUGCACUUUCCGUCUGACGGGCCAGCAUCAAUUUUGGUCGCCGGAUAAAGUUCAGUGGAAUGUGGCACCCUCGGGUGUGUUAUAGCCUCUGUUCGCAUACGGCGGCUGGGAUUGAGGUCUGCAGCACGCCUUUUGGCCGGGGUUCGCCCACGUACGUGCUUAGGAUGCUGGCGUAAUGKCUUUAAACGACCCGUCUUGAAACACGGACCAAGGAGUCUAACAUGCCUGCGAGUGUUUGGGUGGAAAACCCAUGCGCGUAAUGAAAGUGAUAG
rnacentral:rRNA from 1 species